UAAGCAUUGGCUUGGUGCUUCUAAUGGAU
rnacentral:piRNA from 1 species